ACAAACUGCGAAAGCAUGCCUAUCGAUCCUUAGGUUUGUGAGUAUACAGCUAGAGUGUCAGAAAGUUACCACAGGAUAAACUGGCUGUGCGCAGCCAAGCGUUCAUAGCGACGUUGCUUUUUGAUCUUUCGAUGUCGGCUCUUCCUAUCAUUGAGACGCAGAAGUCUCAAAGUGUCGGAUUGUUCACCCGCCAAUAGGGAACGUGAGCUGGGUUUAGACCGUCGUGAGACAGGUUAGUUUUACCCUACUGACAAAGUAGAUACUGCGACAGUAGUCGAAGUUAGUACGAGAGGAACACUUCGUCCAGAUACUUGGUUAAUGCCGUUGUCUGAAAAGACAGUACGGCGAAGCUACCAUCUGCUGGAUUACGGCUGAACGCCUCUAAGCCGGAAUCCAUGCUGGAUAAGCAGUGUUGUACACCGUGCUCAAUGCUACAAGAAAAAGGCUAGGUCAGGCUUCGGCCUGACCAAAAUUCAAGCUGCUAUACCUCUGGCUGCAUUGACUUGUGGUCAGAGUGUAUGGUGAUCAUAGCAAUUGCAAGUAUUGGGCUCGAUAAAUCCUUUGAAGACGACUUAAUUGCAUCCGGGUAUUGUAAGUGUUGAGAGUAGGCUUAGUCUUACGAUCCACUGAGAUUCAUCCCGUGUUGCGCCGAUUUGU
rnacentral:ncRNA from 1 species